GCGCGAUUAGUUCAGUGGUUAGAAUACUCGCUUCCCAUCCUCUUUCCUGGGCAAAACAAGCGAGGGACCCGAGUUCGAAUCUCGGAUCGCGCA